AUUGAACGCUGGCGGCAGGCUUAACACCUGCAAGUCGAGCGAGCGGCGGACGGGUUAGUAAUGUCUGGGAAACUGCCUGAUGGAGGGGGAUAACUACUGGAAACGGUAGCUAAUACCGCAUACCAUCAGAUGUGCCCAGAUGGGAUUAGCUAGUAGGUGGGGUAAUGCCGCACCUGGGCGACGAUCCCUAGCUGGUCUGAGAGGAUGACCAGCCACACUGGAACUGAGACACGGGCCAGACUCCUACGUGAGGCAGCAGUGGGGAAGAGUGCACAAUGGGCGCAAGCCGGAUGCAGCCAUGCCGCGUGUGUGAAGAAGGCCUUCGGGUUGUAAAGCACUUUCAGCGAGGAGGCGUUACUCGCAGAAGAAGCACCGGCUAACUAAGUGCCAGCAGCCGCGGUAAUUC
rnacentral:rRNA from 1 species